rnacentral:lncRNA from 1 species
AUAGUUAAUAUCAGCUACAAUAUGUAGCUCAAAGCUAUUUACAGUUUCUGACCAUUUAAAAUUCAUAAAAAUUUAGUUUUACUAGUGAAUAUAAUGAUUUCAUAUAUGAAAUGCUGAAACAUGGGAACAUUUCAUAACUCAAUUAAAUCUCACAGAUAAAUAUUGACUCGCAAAUAUUUAAACAGAUUUAUGUAUAGAGAGGCAAUCUUUGCAAAUAAUAUGUUCAAUUUUCUGGCUUCAGCUUUAGAUUAAGUAAUGAUUGAAGAUAAUUGGAACCUUUUUAAAUUCAAUGUGACUGAUACCAUAGGCUCACAACUGAAUUCUGGUUUUGCUGUAGCCAAACAUUUUGAAUUAGGUAACUUUAUGAGCCAUAGAAUGGUCAGUAAAAUUAGAAUAAUAAAAGUAGAUUAUUUUGUUUAAUAUUAUGAGACAACAGUUCUCCCUUUUCCAUCUUUUAGGCCUAUGCUACAACCAUCACCAUAAUUUCUUAUAAUUGAACUGAUUAUUUUAUAAACAUCCAGAAAAUAAGCAUAUAAAGAUGUUUCUUUUCAUUUAAAUGCAAGAAAAUAUGUAACUACAUUUUAGUCUUUCCUGAAUAAAUACUAUAAAUAAAAGGGGCAAUUAUAUAAAAUAAAUACAAGAAUAAAAUAAAACAAAAAUAAAACCCUACAGGAGAGUUUAUUACAAAUGAUUAUUUUCAAAAUUAAAAUAUUCUAACUCUUAACUAAUUCAUCAUGGAGAUAAAGUGAUACACUUCAUGCUUCAUAACAAUUUAAUAAAUAUUAUUAAAUAUGGCAACUGCCACCAUAACUCAUUAGCAAGCUGUUUGUGUUAUAUGAAGUUAUCUGAAAUUGUUUGGGGGGAGUUGGUUUGUCAUGUAACACGCACAGUAAUUUCUGAAGAAACUCUGGAACAUAUGGUCCCUGCCCAUCAGUUAUCCCCAGGAGGCAGCAGGAUUCCUCUCCUUACAAAUACAUGACAUUGAGAGGCAAGAUACAAAAGAGACAGGAAGGCAAAGAAAUGGAGGGGAGAGAAAUUUUGAUGACUGAAGCUGUAAAAUCAGACUUCAAGCCAUAAACUGAAAACUACAGUUAGUACAUCCAUGUAAUCAGUUCAAAUAUAAGUGGGACAUCAGGGCUUCUAGGAUUUUUACACUAUGAACUCUGAGUCUUGGAAUACACACACACAAAAAUUAAUUUCUACUGUGGCUAAAAUGUUACCUGUAGCACGCUACUUGCUAACAUAGGUGAAUAUAGGGUCAUGUAGUUGGCAUUAUCAAGGUUCCUUAGAGCAAGUUUUGACUGCUGUAUAUUCUUGUUUGUGUACAUGUUAAAUCAUCUCAUAAAAUUAUGAGAUAUUUUCUAAUUAAAGUAGCAUAUGUUGUCACAAUUUUGUGGGUAUGAGUAGAAAAAGAGUGAAAGGCAUCUGCCUGUAACCAGCUAUAUAGAAGGGAAAGUGUAUAUUUUAUAGGUGCUUUCCUUUAAUUUCCAUCCUUAAAUCUAGGUGGUCAGAAAAACAUUUGCACUGAAAGAUCUAAUGUCUGAGUAAUUAGACGUCACUCUGCGAAAUUUGGCUAUUGUUAUAAUCAUUUGAUUAGUACCUAGCUUACAUUUUUGUACCAGAUUCAUUUUCUCACAGAUGUAAACUUUUAUAACAGAUUCAAAGAGCACAUAUGAAAGAGUUUUUUGGAACUAUUUGGAAAACAGCUCUAAGGCAAUAUAAUUUUGAUCAGGUGUGCAUCCCUGUUUUCUCAGGUCAUUUGGGAAGAGAGAACCUGGAUAGAGAAAAUGCCACCACUGAGUUGCCUUUGGACAACUCUUUGAUGACUUUGCUUUAUUGAUCAUUAAAGGUCUGCUAUCCAUCUAUUUUAGUUGAUUGAUGACUGUUUUGGGAUGGUCCAGCUCACUGUGUCCAGUGCCAUCUCUGUGAUGGUAUUUCUGGAUACCAUAAGAAAGCAUACCGAGAAAGCCAUAGGGGAAAAGCCCUCUGUAUUAGUUCUGUAUCAGUUUUCCUGUCUUGAAUCUCUGCCUUGAGUUCCUUUCUUGACUUCCUUGGAUGAUGGACUAAAGGCUGAAAGGUAGAGUAUUCUACCCAUCUGUUUUUGUUGGUGUUUUAUCACAGCAAUAGAAAACUUAACUAAGACAACACCUAUGCUCCCAGUUUUUGUCUAAAGUCUGAAUUUCACAUUAUAACAAAAUUGGAGUUUCCUACUAUAGUAUAAAUUUGAAAAUAUUACAAGACUAACCCUCUCUGGUAAAGCAAGCUAGCCUAGAUUUAUUUGAAACAGGGGGCUAUGAGAAAAUUUCAUAGAAAAAGCCAUCAAAACAAAAAUCUUAAACAGAUAUUUAAAAUAGGAAAAGUCUGCUGGAUGUAGCAGGGCAGCAUGCUUGUCAUCUCAGAGCUUGUCAAGUAGCAGCAGGGCCCCCGAAGCUCAUAAGUGUCUAUAUAGCAAGGCUGAGUUUCCCUUGGGCUACAUGACGCCCUGUCUCUGAACACAAACAAACAAAUAACC